GACGAUAGCUCAGUUGGUAGAGCAUCUCCCUUUUAAGGAGAGGGUCCUGGGUUCGAGCCCCAGUCGUCUCA
rnacentral:tRNA from 1 species